AGUCAAAUGUGAUGAAAUAUUGGUAAUUUCUUUUGGUUCAAUCUAACAAAAACAAAGGAAGAAAACACUGCUUCAAAGAGAACGAGUUGGCGGGGGAAGAGAAGCAGUGGGCUGUACGGAGAGAAGGGAACUAGGAAAUGUUUUAGUGCAGAAAAAUAUUUGAAUACAAAAUAUUUUCCCACAAAUAACAUUUACAUGUAAGUCCUGCAAAUGUUGAAGCUGUAAGUCUGUACUCUCCAGAAGCCCAUACCGCUACACCAUCUAUUUGUGGGUGUGGGGCAGCAAGAUGUGUAGUGAACUAGUGCGAAGGAUGGGCAAGCAGGCUGAGAAUCUAGGCUAAAGAAUGGGAAGUUCCACAAGAGGAAGGGAAGCAAACUGAUUUCUUCUGACUUCUGCUUUCAGUAACCUAAUUUCUCCUAUUUCAGAUAUACUUUCAAGUUGAAAAUGAAAGUAAACCAACAGUACAAAUUCUCGGCCAGGCAUGGUGGUGGGCACCUGUGGUCCCAGCUGCUCAGGAGGCUGAAGCAGGAGAACUGCUUGAACCCAGGAGGCAGAGGUUGCAGUGAGCCGAGAUCCAGCCACUGCACUCCAGCCUGGGUGACAGUGAGAUUCUGCCUGAAAAAUAAAUAAAUAAAUAAUGGAAAGUAUACUAAUAACCUUUUUCCCAGGUAGCUGCCGAAGAUGGCAAAGUUGCAGGUCCUGGUGCUUAAUGGUCGAGGCCAUCUCCUGGAUUGCCUGGUGGCCACUGUGGCUAAGCCGGUACUGCUGGGCUGAAGGUGGUGGUCACAUGCUGUGAGGGCAUCAACAUUUCUGGCAAUUUCUACAGAAAUGAGUUGAAGUACCUGGCUUUCCUCCACAAGCGGAUGAACACCAACCCUUCCCGAGGCCCCUAUCACUUCUGGGCCACCAGCCUCUCUAGCAGAGUGUGCGAGGCAUGCCCCCCAAGACCAAGCAAGGCCAGGCCACCCUGGAGUGCCUCAAGGUGCUUGACAGCAUCCUACCAUCCCAUGACAAGAAAAAGUGGAUGGUGGUUCCUGCUGCCCUCAAAGUUGUGUGUCUGAAGCAUAUAAGAAAGUCUUCAUAUCUGGGGCACCUGGCUCACGAGGUUAGCUGGAAGUACCCCGCAGUGACAGCUACCCUGGAGGAGAAGAGGAAGGAGAAAGCCAAGAUCCACUACCAGAAGAAGAAACAGCUCAUGAGGCUAUGGAAAUAGGCUGAGAAGAAUGUGGAGAAGGAAACUGACAAAUACACAGAAGUCCUCCAGACCCACGGACUCCUGGUCUGAGCCCAAUGAAGGCUGUUAAUUCCUCA